rnacentral:tRNA from 1 species
AGGGAUAUAGCUCAGUUGGUAGAGCGUUUGCUUCAUAUGCACAACGUCCUGGGUUCAAUCCCCAGGACCACCA